rnacentral:snRNA from 1 species
AUGCUUGCUUCAGCAGCACAUAUAAUAAAAUUGGAACGAUACAGAGAUUAGCAUGGCCUCUGCACAAGGAUGACACAUAAAUUCGUGAAGCGUAAGAAAAAAAA